UGGGAUAUCGCCAAGUGGUAAGGCGGUGGGUUUUGGUCCCGCUAUUCGGAGGUUCGAAUCCUUCUAUCCCAG
rnacentral:tRNA from 4 species